rnacentral:lncRNA from 1 species
AAAGAACAUAGGGAUUCCAGCACCCCUAGUCAUUUUCUGAUGAGCAUUAGUCCUAGAGCGUCCUCUAUGGUCCUAAUGCUUAUUCCUUCCCAGGGUGCGUAACAACCCAUGGACCUCUGCUUAUCAGAUUAGUUAUGCUCACUGAUGUAGCAGUCCUGCAUCUGUUUUCCCACCUCUCUUGACCACAAAGAAAGGGGUCUGGGCUGCUGGAUUCUAGUGGUCCUUUACCAGCGUGCCCAACAUUGCCUUUGCACUCAGGGGUGAGUCCUAGAGCUGGGCUGGGUUCCUGAGUAUUUCAUAACAACCCAGCUGCCCCAUCAAGAUGCAUUCCCAUAAAAGCAGUUCUUAUGCAAAUUCAUUUCAGAGAGGGUGUAGGUAACCUUUUGAGUCAGGAUUCGGAUAGUGUUUUUGAUUCUGUAAGUACUUUAAGGUUUGGCUAAGUGCAAACAGCUCGCACAUUUGAGGAGACCAGUUAUUAGGCAAUUUUUCUAACUCUGCUUCUACAAGAGUCUCCGUAUCAAUUACUGAAUACCCAUUGUGGUUUUUUCCUCAAUCACCUGGGAGGAAACAUCUAUAGUCCUGUCCUGAAGGGAGUUCCUCCUAGGUCUGGUCAGACCUUUGUAUGGUAAUUAAAAUUUAAAUCCCUUGUUAGGAAAUCUGCUGGGUUAAGGGAAUUAUCAGUGGUUGGAGUUACAUUACCCUUUUCUAACAUAAUAGACCCAUACUUUAAGAUUUUUGAGUUAGUAAGCUACCUUUUUCCUUUUUUUUUUUUUUUUUUUUUUGACUUAGAGUAAUUCUGAACUGGUGAGGUGUGCUCACAAUGAGGUUUCCUCUAAAAGUUACUUUUCUACUUUUAGCAAAGCAGUUGCUGCUACUAACUGAAUGCAUUUGGCCCAUCCGUGGGUUACUGGGUUAAGGAUUUUUGAUAGGAAAGCUAUGGAUUGUCAGUGGCCUCAGUGCUUUCGGGCUAUGCCCUUAUUUACACUGACAACAAAGUAGCAUUGAAGUUUUAUAGUGUCACGGAGAAGACCUUCAAUUAUCAUUACAGGAUUUAAAUUUACCCUGGCUUUUAAAGGAAUAGGGCACACUUUUUUUUUUUUUUUUUUUAACUAUUUCUUUUUCUUUCUUUUGCUCUUUGACUCCCUCUUUGUCUCUCUCUCUGUCUCUUUCUCUCUCUGACUCUCUCUCUCUCUCCCUCUCUCUCUCUCUCCGUGUCUCUCUCUUAGCCAUUACAAACUUGGGGCCCUGGCAAGGGUGGUGGGGAAUGGGUCCCACAUAACUGCCCAUUCAAGAGCUAUAUACCUAAAUUGGGAGGGACACCAGGGAUAAGACUCCCUGGGUUAUAGCCUAGGUGCCUAAGGACACAUCAUAGAGCUUCCUUAGAUUCCUUUGGAGAUACAACUUGCUAGAGGAAAUGGAAGUCUGAACCAUUAGUACCCAGGAGGCAGAAAUCAGAGGAAAUAGAUUCAGAGUCUCAGCAAAUCUCAGUUGUUCCUGAGCACUGCUACAGAGCAGGUUGGAG